rnacentral:rRNA from 1 species
GACGAACGCUGGCGGCGUGCUUAACACAUGCAAGUCGAACGAUGAAGAAGAGAAACGCGAACUUCGGUUCAAAUUUCACUUCGGAUUAGUGGCAGACGGGUGAGUAACGCGUGAGCAACCUACCUCUUACAAAGGGAUAGCCUCGGGAAACCGUGAUUAAUACCAUAUGACACAUUCAUAAGGCAUCUUAAGAAUGUUAAAGCUACGGCGGUAAGAGAUGGGCUCGCGUCCCAUUAGCUAGUUGGUGAGGUAACGGCCCACCAAGGCGACGAUGGGUAACCGGCCUGAGAGGGUGAACGGUCACAGUGGAACUGAGACACGGUCCAAACUCCUACGGGAAGCAGCAGUGGGGAAUAUUGCACAAUGGAGGGAACUCUGAUGCAGCGACGCCGCGUGAGCGAUGAAGGAAUUCGUUUCGUAAAGCUCUGUUCUAUGGGAAGAAAAGGACUGUACCAUAGGAGAAAGCCCCGGCUAAAUACGUG